CACCUACCAGGGAAGUGGAAGAGGUGGACCUGGAACCCCAAGUUUUUCGUUCUGAAUUUUUUUUUCUUCUUUUUUCCUUCUUGAGACCAGACUGCUGACCAAGAGGCAAGCGCUGAGCGGGAGAAGCUGGGGUCGGUGCCCAGGGAGGAGCUGCGCCUGCCAACACCCAGGUGAGACCAGUUCAGCAGAUUUCUAGAUAAGAAUACCCUUCAAGUGAUUUUUCGCCAAGUGGACAGAAGACUUAAAAAGAAAGCAGGAAAAAGAGGGACGAAAAAGGAAGAAACUCUGAACAUAAUGCACGCACUCGAAUUCACUCCCUGGCAUCUGCUCCGACAGCCACCAGAGAAGCAAACACUGUGAUAAUCCAGCUGGGUCUAAAGAGAAAGUGGUCCCCAAAGUCCAUAUAUGAGUGAGAAGACAAUUUGCAAUAAGAAUUUAUAUC